GCGGCCGACCUGAGUGGACCGAGGUCCGAACAGUUGUGAUUAUGUAGCUGCGUGUGUCGCGCGCUGAGAAAUACACCUGGUUUACAGCUACCGGAUACACCAAGGGGAACAACAGGCGAAUGAAUGAAAACGAAGCUCUGACUGUCGGGCGAUAUGUCAACUGCCACAGGAAGACCGCAACAAUGGCGACACCAUCCACAGCCGUGCCGGGGGAGGUGGUUCUCCCGGCUGAACCGACCCGGGAUGGGCGUCCACUGACGGUCGCCGACGUCGGCCGACCGUCGACCGUCGCUGAGCUGUCCGGCUAUAGUCGGCACCGACGGCCGAUUCAGCGCUCCGUCGCCGCUCCCCGGUGCCAUCCGAAACGGCUCAGCCAUUCGCGCUGCAAAUUUGACGACUUAUCUAGGAUCAUUUUAAACGUCCUAUGUCUUGAUGGUGAUGACUUUAUGGGCCAUUUUCGUUGAUAGAAGACUAUGAGCAUUUUAUGGCCGCAGGAAAUCGCCACAUUGGGGGACGUUCCGCGGAAUAACAGCCUUAUUCGGCCAAAUGGCAUGAGCAGUCACCGGCUCUAACUUAUGACUCAGCACUGUCGGCCAAUAUCGUGUGGAUUUAAGACGUGCGGCCGGCGCCGCACAUUGGGUCCGUGCCCCAUCAAACAGUUACCAUGUCAUUUGUCAAAUUUCAAUAAUAAUUAAGUAAUGUUUCCACCACAAAACUGGUUGGCUAAGGCGGUGCUGGCACGAGAAGGCCGUGUUGAACUUCCGCGAAGUGACGAACUCAUUAUUAAACGCAUGGAUUAUGCAGCGUAAUUUUCGCCAUCGACAACAGCCUUUGAGGUUGAAGCGGGACUGUUUCCGUGCAGCUGAAUAUACCAUGAGAAUUAGA